CCUACGGGAGGCAGCAGUGGGGGAUAUUGCACAAUGGGGGAAACCCUGAUGCAGCGACGCCGCGUGAGUGAAGAAGUAUUUCGGUGUGUAAAGCUCUAUCAGCAGGGAAGAAAAUGACGGUACCUGAUUAAGAAGCCCCGGCUAACUACGUGCCAGCAGCCGCGGUAAUACGUAGGGGGCAAGCGUUAUCCGGAUUUACUGGGUGUAAAGGGAGCGUAGACGGCAGCACAAGUCUGGAGUGAAAUGCCGGGGCUUAACCCCGGGACUGCUUUGGAAACUGUGCAGCUAGAGUGCAGGAGAGGCAAGUGGAAUUCCUAGUGUAGCGGUGAAAUGCGUAGAUAUCAGGAGGAACACCAGUGGCGAAGGCGGCCUACUGGACUGUAACUGACGUUGAGGCUCGAAAGCGUGGGGAGCAAACAGGAUUAGAUACCCUAGUAGUC
rnacentral:rRNA from 1 species